CACCUUCCCGCCUCCUUAUUCAUUUCCCUCCAGCUCCCUCUCUCAUCUUGCCUUCACUGCCUCCACCCCAUCGCCUCUCGCCUGAUUGCCGCAGCCCUCUCUGUCUCCUUCUCCGUCUCCGUCUCCGGCUCCUGCUUCGGCUCCGUCGCAGCUUCCUUGUUGCCUCAACGCCGUCGCCGUCGCUGCCGCCGCCGCAUCCGCUGCCUCAACGCCGCCGCCGUCCCCAUCUCCAUUGCGGUCUCCGGAUCCAGCAGUGUUGGUUUGUUUUCAAAUCGUUGCGUUAUUUGGAUUGUAUUUGCAUCAUAAGAGGUUGGCUACCCUCAAUUUUCCUUGUACAUUGGAGGGUGUUGCUUUGGUGCAUUGUUGAAUCUUUUGGCAAAUUGUAUUCGAUAUAGGUUUUCGGGUAUGCAUUUAUGCUUUUUGUUAUUUGUAACAGGAGGUCUAUUUGGUUUGAUUUGUUUUUGUGUUUAUCUUAGGUUACGUUCUAACUUAAGUUGUGUACAUUAUUUUAUUCAUUAUGUUCAAUUCAUUUUCAAAAAGAAAAAAAAAAUUCUUAGGACCAUUAGUGUAAGUUUGAGUCUCAUUGAUCACAUAUAAAAUGUAUUUUUUAAUUAAAUUCUCGAGAGGUCACGUUUAUCACAAUAUAUGAUAAGGUUUAUGUGACAUUCGACGUGGCAUGUGGUUAAUGUAAUGUUUCAACCAUUAUACUAUAUGAUGGGGUUUGUAUAAAUAAUGUGUCUCUUUGGUUGCUACAAGUCUCCAUUUGCCGUGAUAUGAAAUUUUGCUUGGCUCAUGUAAAUAAAAUGAUUUGCAUGAACUUAUAACCGAGCAAGGUUGCAACAAUACGGACACGUGGACAAAGACACGGGACAUGACAACAAUAUAAAAAAUUAAGACAGAGAAACGACAAUAUAUAUUAUACUAUUGUUAUUAUUCAAUAAUAAUAAUAAUAAUAAUAAUAAUGUAUAGCGUUUCACAGGACGUCCCGCACUUAAAAUGUUUAGGACGCUGGCUGGGUCAACCCGACCCAGACCGGACUUCCCGGGUCGAGUAUAAAAGGCAGGCGGGAGCAGCGAACGGCAAAGCAAACUGCAAACCCUAGCAGCCUCUUUCGCCUGUUCGUCUUUCCUUCUCUUCUCGUCUGCGUCUCCGUCUCCGACCAGCAGCCGCCGUCCGUCGGCUCGCUCUCUUUUCCUCUCGUCCGGAAAUCCCAUCUUUCUUCUCCGGUCAACUGGCUGCCGUCCCAGACGCAGGCGACCUUAGUUCUCCGAUUUAAGAAAUAAUGAAUCAAAAAUUCGGAGGAGGAAGGCAGCCCGUAGGUACUCCGUCUCUGGCGUGGUCGUGCGUCGUCGUCAUUGCCUCGCUUCUUAUCGGCGCCUCCGUCGUCCACAACAUGUUCAAGCCUGAUCUGACGUUGCCGCCGGUGGAUGGAGUUCAUGGGGCCAAAGCGAAAGAGCUCGGUCAGGAUUAAUUAGCAUUUGGUUCAGAAUGUUAUACAUGUGAUGUGAUGCUGCGUCUAAUGGUUCCCGUUUGAUUUAUUGUAGUUUUGGUCAGUUGUGAAGGCUAAAACAAAUUGGUUUGAUCAUUUUCAGAUUUGGUGAUUAGCCAACAGUGAUUAGCCUCCAGAUGUUUGAUGGUCUGCUAUUAUAUGCUUUGUCAGAGUUCAUAAGUUUUAAGGGUUUAAGGUUAAGAAAGAUAAUAACAUUAUGUUCGCCAACUCAUAACAAAAAUUAUUCUUGAAUGUUUUCAA